GACGAACGCUGGCGGCGUGCUUAACACAUGCAAGUCGAACGGAAAGGCCCUGCUUUUGUGGGGUGCUCGAGUGGCGAACGGGUGAGUAACACGUGAGUAACCUGCCCUUGACUUUGGGAUAACUUCAGGAAACUGGGGCUAAUACCGGAUAGGAGCUCCUGCUGCAUGGUGGGGGUUGGAAAGUUUCGGCGGUUGGGGAUGGACUCGCGGCUUAUCAGCUUGUUGGUGGGGUAGUGGCUUACCAAGGCUUUGACGGGUAGCCGGCCUGAGAGGGUGACCGGCCGCAUUGGGACUGAGAUACGGCCCAGACUCCUACGGGAGGCAGCAGUGGGGAAUAUUGCACAAUGGGCGGAAGCCUGAUGCAGCAACGCCGCGUGCGGGAUGACGGCCUUCGGGUUGUAAACCGCUUCCGCCUGUGACGAAGCGUGAGUGACGGUAAUGGGUAAAGAAGCACCGGCUAACUACGUG
rnacentral:rRNA from 1 species